rnacentral:rRNA from 1 species
AGUGAACGCUGGCGGUAGGCCUAACACAUGCAAGUCGAACGGCAGCACAGUAAGAGCUUGCUCUUACGGGUGGCGAGUGGCGGACGGGUGAGGAAUAAAUCGGAAUCUACUUUUUCGUGGGGGAUAACGUAGGGAAACUUACGCUAAUACCGCAUACGACCUACGGGUGAAAGCAGGGGAUCUUCGGACCUUGCGCGAUUGAAUGAGCCGAUGUCGGAUUAGCUAGUUGGCGGGGUAAAGGCCCACCAAGGCGACGAUCCGUAGCUGGUCUGAGAGGAUGAUCAGCCACACUGGAACUGAGACACGGUCCAGACUCCUACGGGAGGCAGCAGUGGGGAAUAUUGGACAAUGGGCGCAAUCCUGAUCCAGCCAUGCCGCGUGGGUGAAGAAGGCCUUCGGGUUGUAAAGCCCUUUUGUUGGGAAAGAAGAUCAGCAGGUUAAUACCCCGCUGUUCUGACGGUACCCAAAGAAUAAGCACCGGCUAACUUCGUG